rnacentral:rRNA from 1 species
GCCCAAGAGAUCGGGAUAACACCUGGAAACAGAUGCUAAUACCGGAUAACAACAGAUGAUGCCUAUCAACUGUUUAAAAGAUGGUUCUGCUAUCACUNUUGGAUGGACCUGCGGUGCAUUAGCUAGUUGGUAGGGUAACGGCCUACCAAGGCGAUGAUGCAUAGCCGAGUUGAGAGACUGAUCGGCCACAUUGGGACUGAGACACGGCCCAAACUCCUACGGGAGGCAGCAGCCA